rnacentral:lncRNA from 1 species
CUCUGACACUGCGCGCCAGGCCAGGUUCCGGAAAGCAGGCUGCGCGGGUGGGGAGCGCGGGCCAGGGCGGCCCUUCAGCGCCUGGCUGCUGGCCGGGAGGGGCUUGCACGCACGCCGUCCCUAGCCAACCUCGCUGCGCGGGCUUGCGGGCUAGCUCGGGUGCACCGGAGGUGCUGUCGGGCAGAGCGCGGGAUCACGCAGAAGGCCGGCGCGCACAGACCCAGGUGAGUGUGGUUUUCCAGCGUUCCGCUGGGCGCCGGCCUGGGCAGGGAGAAGGGGGGCAAGGCGUGUUUUCGCGGGUCAUCGCGAAGAGCCAUACCGCUGUGCCCCGGCUCGAGCUAGGGCGACAGGCGUGUGCCGGGCUUUAAGCCCAGCUUGCGGCUCCUUCAAAGUCCACUGGCCUCUGGGGUUUCUCCAGAUCUUUGUCCACCUCUCACCAACACCCCCUCCCGCAACACACACACACACACACACACACACACACACACACACACGCCUUCAGCUUUUUGGCGGAAGACGCCUUGACGCCUUCGGGGCUCCUGGCACUGCUGUGCGAGGAACUGGGGGUGGGUGGCUUGCCGGCUUAGCCUGCCGGGCUGUCGCCGCUUCCCCUGGCAGAGCUCGGCUGGGAAGAUGGCUCUGGAGAUGAGAGAGUUGCUUCCCCAGCCUUGUCCUGCCUGGGGAAAGGGCGAGUGUGGGACAUAACCACUUAAUAUUUAUCUGUGCAUACACAGUUGGGUGUUCUCACAGACAGACAGCCGUGGUGGACAGACACACUCCACUUUCAGGGCCCACUUGGCAUUGCUACCCACAGACACCCUCAGUACCUCCAAAGCUUUGCCUUUACCCUCCCAACCAAUGCAGACCUACAGCUUAGGUGCCACAACCCUCCCAGGGUCACACAGCCUGCCCACUGAGGGGAGCCCAUGCUCCAGGCACGUCUACCACCAUGCUGUGCUGCAUUUGCCCACCAGAGCUGGUCCCACAUGCACACACAACCACAAAAACGGCCACCCCACCCCAGGGCAUGCCGUGGGCACACAUCAUUAUCUCCCCCCACCACACACACACACACACACACACACACACACACACACACACGGAAGCUGCAGAGGACAGCGGCCUGGGUGCUGGAAGGGAGGUUUGAUCCUGGGAAGGAGGUCUCCCCACACCUGGCCUUUAGCAGAGGUGAGCCAGUGGCGGGUGCACAGGCACCCACAGCUCUCCAAAAGUGGCAAUAGCAUCUCCAUUCCCCUCUCCCCUUCCUUCACUCCCGCGGGCUUCCAAAGUGAGGGGAGUUUACAGAACAUGAAGUUGGGGGCCCUUUUACUAGUAGCCUCCUUCCUUUUAGGCUGGGGUUUGCUGCAGAUUCUUUGACUAAUCCUGAGAUGGGGUUUCCUACCUCCCGCCUCCAGCACACCAUAGCCUUUCACAUACACCCCUGGGGAGUUCCUUAUAUUUUGGGAUAAAGGAACUUCUGCCCUUUAGGGGAGAGGCUGCGGGAUUAUUCCUUAGGCCUGAGAGCUAGCCAGAUCCCGCAGGGGAGGAUCUGUAGAGUGGUGCCCAGGGAGAGAGGGGCCCAGCAGCUGGGGUCUUGGGAUUGCCAAAGACUAAAGCUCUCCCCAAACCCCAGUCCCUACUGAGGUGGGAGGUGAGAGUGGGGCCUGACCGGGGAGAGGAAUGAGCACCCAGUUCUGUAAUAUGGACCCCCCAAUUUCUUGAAAACCACAUUCAUGGCAAGAUGGCUUUUCUGUGAGUUCAGAGACAAGUUCUUGGCUCUUUCGGGGCCCUGAGAGGUCGCCUUUGAUCUUGCAUUUCUGGGGUAGAGAAGCUGAAGCCCAGAGAGGACUUGGCCCAGGUCAGCUAGUGGCUGUGAAGCCACCAUCUCUCCGUCCUUCCUCUCUUCCCCUUAGGACAGAAGGGCAUGCCUUGUCGUCUUCCCAGAUAGUCCAGGAGUGGAAAGAGUGCACUUUCAAAAUGCUUCUGUCCCCACGCCACAGCCUCGGCUUCCCAGGCUGCAGGGGCUGGGAUUCGUUAGACAGCUGAGGGUGCUAGCCUAACAGCCCAAGUGACCUUAGCUGUGGUGCUCUCCACGGCUGACCACGCACCACCCACUGCACUGCUAGGUACACAGCCCUCGGCAGGCAUUCUUAGCCUUUCUCUGGGCUACGAAUCCCCUUGAUGAGCUGUGAAAAUGGUAUUCUCCUGACCCCUCCCUAAGGUGAUUCAAGGCUUUGCCAAAAAUGUCUGGAGCUAAUUCAUGAUCAUGAUCCCCAUCCCCCUGCACUUUACCCCGGGACCCUGAUAAAAGCCCUAAGGUUACCUGCUUAAUAUUCCCAGGGUCCCCUAUCAAGCCAGUCUUGUUCCUCUCCCUUUAGGAAAGGGGCUGGCAGGUUAAGGGGCCACCCUGCAGAGAGACCCUCCAGGCAUAGUCCAGUGGUCCUGGGGAUGUGGUCCCACCUCCCACACCUUGGGACGCUGUAUAAACUGCAGUUUUUUUCCUCUGAAUAUUGGAACUAAUUAUGACACCCGUUUCCUAGAGGGUGUGACCGGGUUAGGGGACUUGAUCUACUCAAACAGAAACGAAGACCCCUGAGGCUCAGCCUGGGGCUGGGCUGUGGGAGAAGAUGCCACAGGAUCCGUGAGCAGAGCUUCUCUCUCAGCCGAGAAUCCCUUAAGACUCUGCUCCGGUCCCAACCAAGUCAGUCCGCUCCGGCACCGGCCCCAGGAAUCCCCAAACUGGAGGGGGGUGGUGUAAAAACAGCCUGCGACGUCCCCACUCCCCAAGCCCGAGGCAUUUUUACUGGCUAAUUGCUUAAGUGAAGCCGCCGGGGCCCAGAGCGCGCCGUAACCCGAGCGGGGAACCAGAUCCAGCUCGGAUGGUGCCCGGACGGCCGCGGCGGGGGCAGGGCGGCCGCCGACCACCCACCGCGAGGGCAGCCGCCCUGCCCGCCGCCCCGGCCCUGCACUGACGCCGGCCCGCGGCCCCUGGCCCCUGCUGCCCCCACCCCCUGCGAGGCGACGUCCAAACGGUGCCUCAAGGUAGGGCGGUCCGCGUGCGCUGGGCCGAGCGACCUGGACGUUUGGCUCAGGAGCCUGGCGGGUCCCAGGCGUCAGUGGAGAAGGGAGCCGGACUCGGCAGGGGAGUGAGACUUCAGGUCCCCGGAUCCGAGAGCGGGAAUCAGGAAGGGGGUGGGUUCCUUGAGAGUGAAAGUUCAGUCUUUGGGUAUAGAGGGCUGUGGUGGGAAACGGUGAGGUCGGAAAGAGAGGGCGCCCCUGCGCUUGGAUGGAAAGUGAUCUGGGUACAAAAUGCACAGGACAGGUCUCUGCACACUCCAGAUGUGCACCCGCUGUGCUGCCUUCGCCUGCAGAGCACCCUAGCUCGCUCGGCCAGCCAGGCCCUGGGCGGCAAGGCCAGGCCAGGCCUCAAGGCGGCCUCAUAAGCAGCCUUGGGUAGCGCAGAGUGGCAGAGGGCUUCUGGCACCGACGUCACAGGAGGACAUGGGUACCAGGUAGUGGUUUCAAGAGUGAUGAAAACGCUCAGAUGUGCACAAUAUAAUGAUAUAUAUGCGGAAUAGAGAGGUAUUCUCUACCCAGAAUGUUACAAGGUGUGUGUACCAGGUAACAGGGUUAAGGACACAAUUUCUUUGUGUAUAAUAAGCCCCCCCACACACACACACAGCCCAGUGGUCCUGGAGGCAGAGUUCUCCUGGUCACACAACCCAGGAUACAUAAGGACAGCGGCAGGAUUAGUAGAGCCCACAUGUGGGGCACCAUGGGCUAUGUACAUGGCACCUUGUGAGAGAUGUCCCAUGUGAUACCUGUGGGCAAAGAAUGCUGCGGGAAACGUGUUCAUGCACGUCCCCAGUACAGCACACUGCAAGGAGGAGGAUAAGUAGUAACAAAUGCUCCGUCUGCCCAGGUAUCAGAGGGUGGGUCUGGGUAAAGCAUGGCCAGGUAAGUGGUAGGCUGCCAGGAGGUUCACAGGCAGCCCCACCCGCAUGAUGGUGGUGAUGGCAAUGGUGAUGGUGGUGAUGAUGGUGAUGUUGAUGGUGGUUGAUGGUGAUGGUGAUGAUGGUGAUGUUGAUGGUGGUUGAUGAUGAUGGUGGUGGUGGUGAUGGUGGUGGUGGUGGUGGUGGUGACAAUGAUGGUGAUGAUGGUGGUGAUGAUAAUGAUGGUGAUGCUGAUGCUGAUGAAUGAUGGUGAUGGUGAUGGUGAUGAUGAUGGUAUAGUAAUGAUGGUGAUGCUGGUGACCAUGGUGAUGAUGGUGGUGAUGUUGAUAGUGGUCGUGAUGAUGAUGAUGGUUGUGAGGGUGAUGGUGGUGACUGAUGGUGGUGGUGGUGAUGAGGUGAUGGUAGUGGUGAUGACAAUGGCGAUGGUGAUGGUGUAGUAAUGAUGCUGAUGACAAGGUGGUGGUGGUCAUUGUGGUCACAGAACUGCCACUGUAAUCCAGUGAGCAUACUCUGUUUUGACUUUAGUUCUCAGGGAAGACAAGUGACACUCCUACUUUACUUUUGUAGCAAUGACUGUUACCGUGGCUGCUCUGGGAAGGCACACAAGCCUAGUGCUCUUCAAGCUGUUCUGUGUGGUAUGGGAGGGGACACGCAUGCCCUGGGUGGGGGGCUGUGAACCCUGACCAUGGAACCGAGAGCACCCUGGCAGACAGAAGACGCAGGGACGCGAGGUGUACAGGAUGGGCCAAGUUCAAGAGCAGCUAUGACAAGGAUUGUCCCUGGCAGUUAAUGUCCCCUACAGCCUGCGUGUCAGGAAGAGGCUUCUAGUAUGUUUAAAAAAGAAAGAAAGAAGAAAGAAAGAAAAAAACCUCAUGUUGCAGCCCUGAGCUCACCCCUUCCACUUGGCCCUUUUACCCAAAAGCGCGCAUUUUCCAUGACGUUCUUCAAUGAAAUAUUUGACAACAUUGCAGCCCGGGAAUUUACAGCUCUCUCCCUGCAGGACUUUGGGGAGUUUUCUGGCAUUAGCGGUACACGCUGCUCCAAGGGACCGGGUGAGCUCUGGGGACAUGGAACCCCCGGGCGUUCCCAUUCUGGACGCCGGCCACGGAGGGCAGCGCUCUUCCCGCUCUUCCCGUGAGGGCGGCCCCACCGCGUCCCGAUGUAUUUUAUUUAUUUAUUUUUUUUCCGAUGUAUUUUAAUCCUCGCUGCUUGGGCAGCUGUUCUCAGACAGAUGCAAGAAUGCUCCCUUCCAGGGACCUGUGUGGGGGUGUGCGUGGGGGGGGGUCGAUCAAAAGAUCUGAGGGGCAGAGUGAUGACAAAGGUGGGGCACAGAGGAAGGGCGAGGACCCGACUCCCUCCCCAGCGUGGCACCGCUGUGGAAAGGAGCCGGCAGGCGGGCGUGGAAAAGAGGCAAACAAGGGUUCCGAACAGCGGAUUUCCAGGGCCAGAUAUUUCACAGUUUUAGAGCACACGCACACGCGCGCACGCACGCACACGCACAGGGAGAGGGCACUAGGAGAGAGGGAUCCACAGAAACACAUGCAGAUUUUUUCUUAAUCAAAAGCAGCGAUUGGCUCCCAGGAAGCCGCCCGGGCAUUCAGCGGAGCCUGUUGUCUCCACGGAGGGACGGCUCACAGCUCUGCUCCUGCCCCUCAGAGGGCAUUAGACAUUAUGAAAACAAGUGUGUAUUUUAGGGUGAAAAUAGAACUCCUCCCACCCGGCCAGCCUUGGGAAGGGAGGAGGGGGACCACCUGCAAGGCCCCGGGCCUGUGGUCAGCCUGGAGAGGACUCCCUCCACCCGCCAUCCCAGUCCACUGCAGCUCCUUUGUCCCAGCCGGGUAACGGCUUUGGCUUUCUAGUGACCCCUCGGGGAGUUUGCCCUGCGGUGGGUUUGGACAGGACCGCCUUUUUGUCUUGUGGGUCAUGGGAGAACAGCCACGUGGCUGCCACGGGCAGGGGUAGCCCAGUCCCGGGAGCUGGUAAGGAAGGAUAAAUACAGGACAGGGAGCCGGAGGGCGCACCCAGAUAUUCUAGGGAAGUUGGUCAUCAGAGCUCCAGAGGCACUACAGAGCCCGGGACAGACAGGCCAGGAGGCACACGCAGGGGCGGAGAGAUUCAGGGCCACCUAGCGCAGGGUCCCCCAGACAGAGGGGCUGAGACCCUCAGAGACACAGGCACAGGGGGGCACACUGAGGUAGGCUGACUCCCUGGGUCUGUUGCAGGGGCGGGGUCCUUGGAGAAGGGUGGCCAGAGCCCCACUCCAUAGGGCCCAACCUCGGCCUAGCACCCCGACAUGGAGCAGGACCCCCAAAGGCAAAGAAGGGUACAGUCCUGCACUGGCACUAGCUCUGAGCCUUGGGCAAAUGCCUCAACUUGUGGGUGCCUUGCUUUCCUCAUCUUGCAACCUACCCACAGAGCUGACCCAGGACCAGAGGGAAAAUAUCAGGAUUGCACUGUGCAGAGGCCAGUGGGAGGCCCAGGUGGGUGGGCGUCGUAAAUUCAGACCAUGCCAGAAAUGUCAAACGAAUAAACAAACAAAUAUAACUAUGAAUAAUCAGCAACUUGGGCCCUGUCUGCUUAAGGUUUGGUUCCACUGCUGUGUGACACAGAGCCAGUGAAUUUACCUCUCUGUGCCUCAUUUUCCUCAAGUGUAAAAGAAGAACAAAGGAAAUCCCUCUCUUCCAGUUAGUUAAUGCAUUAGAUAAGUUAGUAAUUGUUAGCUGUGGUAGCUAUUCCCGCGGGUGCAGAGGCCCCGUUAGCCUGGAUUGGUGGAUGGCAUUCCUCACUUUCGUGUGUGUGUGUGUGUGUGUGUGUGUGUGUGUGUGUGUGUGUGGUGAAGACUGAAUCCAGGGACUUGUACAUGGGAGGCAAGUACUCUACCAACUGAGCUAUAUCCCCAGCCCUCACCCCAUUUUUGUGGCAGCCCCUAAAAGUCUAUGGAACCCCAGCCUGGGGACUUGGCCAGACAGGACCAAGAAUUUGGUGGCGUGGAGACAAGUCAGGGGAUGUAAGGCCACCUGUGACUUUAAACAAGUAUCUUCCCCUCUGGGGAGUGCAAGGUCAGAGAGCAGCCUCCUUGGCUGGUUGAGAGCUCAGAGCAGAACCGGAGGCAGCAAAGAGGAUAUAGUCUCAGUGAACCCCUGCCCCUCACGGCCAGGCUUAGUCCUGGUCACCCCCUGCAGACAACAGUACCCUGAACCUGGGGUGACCCCCUGGAGCUGGCUAUUGUCCAGCCCCAUCUGCUGGGUGAAUUCUGAGCCACUUCUCGACCUCUCUGAGCCUCCAUUCAUUCCUCUUCUGCAUGAUGGCAAGAAUAACAGUAAGAAUAACGUCCUCAGGCUGCUAUGAAGACUGGCCGCCGAGGACGGAUUGUCACCAGAGAGCCACUGAGCACCUCCGGACUCUGCUCAGAAACUGCUGUAAGGCUCAUUUCACAGACAGGAACACAAGACACAGCAGGGUGAAGAGAAAGGGCCUAAUAAAUGUCAGAUUGUUUUAAAGCACUUCCCUCCCUCUCAAGAGGGGUGAGGGUGCAGACCCCGUGGUGCUCCACCUUGGGCAGCUCCAGGCGGGGGUAGGAGGAAGGGGGAAAUGACCUCCAACUCAGCUUAGGCAUGAGGGCCAGCUCCCCUCCCCAGCCUCCCACCACGCUGAAUAACAAAAUAGCAGCCCCUAGCUUGCAGUCCCAGUGAAGCCAAAGGCAGCCUCCAAAGCCCUGGGAGGCCCAGCUGACUCCCACCCCCACUUGCUGGCCUGGUCCCGUCCUGUCCAGUUUCUGGAAAGGGGUGGCCUCUGCUCCCGUGCUGUUGGGCAGGCAGCUCCUGGGCACCGCUCCUUCCCGGGGAAGCUAGGAAAAUCCUCACCCAGACUGUUUUCAAGGCACAGAACAGAGGCCUUUGAGCAAAGAGGCCCCUUGGACAGCCCGUGCUUGGCCCCUGAGGGGUCAGGGGGCCCCUGCCCCACUCCUCCAGAAAAGACCUCCAAGAAUUCCUUGGGGUAGGGCUCUUUCUCUCCAGGCUACAUCCCUGGCCAUUCCCCGCAGCCCUUUCAAACAGUUCUUAUUCUGCCUCUUGGUCAAGGCUCACCUCAUGGCCAGCCCACAAUUCUCUACCCUACAGAAUUUAAAAACCAACCGGAGGAAAAUCAUAAAGCCACCACUCAAACUUUCUAGUCCUUUUAUUUUUUAUUUUGAAAUAUAUUUUUUCCAGUGCUGAAAUAUACCAAAUCUUUGAGCAGAGGGGUCCGGCGCAGACUCCAGGGCCGGUCCUAAAGGAACCCGCGACUCGCUCGCUCACGUCCGCGCCCCGCCCUGACCCAUCUACUUCUCAUCCUACUUUUUUUCUCCUUUCUUAAUAGUUGGCAAUUAACUACCUGCAAAAAUUCUGCCCCUGCCCUAGAAGAUGUUCAAUUCUAGCUAUUUUAGAAAUUACGAACUUCAAACUAUUUGGACUCUUUUGUUAGAUCCCAAGGUCCGAUGAGUCCUUUCCCUCCCUCCGCUGCACCUCCCUCUCGGUUAAGCUGAGGAAGGAGUUAGCUCCUCGCUGGACUGCAGGCAGAGCUUCUGCUCCGCUGGGUGACUGUCCCCCGCCCCCAAAUUGGCCUGAGACUCACUUGAUUCUCAUAAUCAGGCCUCGAAUUCGCCCCUUGUGGGAGCGAGUGCGCCCUCGCGUUUGCUCCGCGUCUUUGCGCGGCGGCGUUUUCCGGAGGGGGUCGCGCCGGGGAAGCUGCCCUGCGCCGCCGCCCACCUGCCCCCGACUUCUCUCUCGCUCUCCUUUUCAAGCAGCCAAGACUCACUCUGGUUCCGCUCGUCUGACUCCAUUUCUGUGCGUCGCCUCCCAGAAAGAAUUGUCGAGGGCUGCCGUUCGGCGGAGGCGGUGCAUCGCCUCCCGGGUGAAGCGCAGAGCGCGGCGCGGCGCGGCCGGGGCCCCGCGGUCUGGCGGCGCCUUCUCUAGGCCCUGGGAGCUCGGAGGCUGCGCGUCCACCCGGCUGCGGCCGCGGCGGGCUGGUGCCGGGCGAACCGGGCUGGUUACUGCUGUUCCCGUGUUGAGACGAUGCAGUUCUUUUAACCGCGGUUUGGGCUAAUGAUGGGUCCUGCUGGCGUGGACGCCGUGUUUAUUUUACCUCCACCAGCCCGGGGGAGGGAGCGCGCCCUGGGCGCCCCGGGGAGGCACGCUGGAGCUGCAAAUCCCCAAACUGAUGUGGCUGGGGAAGGGUCUUAGGUGCCCCCUCCUAUCACGUCUUUCUUCUCGCCAGCGGAGCCUUGCUUUGGCGGCACCGGUGACGGAUUCAGCCUUCUUUUCCGCGACUUCGGGGCAGAGGACCUAGAAAGUCCCUGGGUCCCAGGGCCGCGCCUGGGACCCGCGGCCUUAGGGAGGCACCUUUUGGAAACGAAGUCCAACUUGGUCGCUGCCUUUGGAGGUGGAAAAAGUGCCCAACCCUGGGUACCAGGGCCACCCUUCAGCUAGGAGGAGAGAAGGGUGCUAUGGGUGGGGACCUUGGUGCAGGACACCAGAUGCAACCUAGGUUGGCUCUGGACGGUGACUGCUAGAUCUGAAUCUGAGGUCAUGAACUGGGGGUGCCUUGAAUGGACCCCAAACCCCACCCUGUCAAAACCAAGAAAUGCUCUUCACAGUGGGUGAUGGCUCCGGAUGUGUCUAUAUCCCGUUAUUGGGAAAGAGGGAAUGACCAAGAAGACCUGCGCUGAAGCAGGAUCUUCAAGGAGCUACCACUCGGAUAUUUCUGGCUACAUUGGGGGGAAUUAUCCCGGAAAUGGUCUCCCUGCCCACCUGCCUGUGUCCAUACAGAGGAACCUGGAGUCUGGCCACUGCCAAGCUUGCUGGAUUUCCAUUACAGACUUCAAAACAUCCCCAGCUUCUAUCCCAGCAGGCUCCUGGCCCAAGGAAACGGGGGACAGUGGGGAGCAGAGGGGACAAAGCUUCAGGAGACUGGCCACGUUCCAGACAUCCCUGGGAACGGUGGAGGUGCUGGUCAGAGAACCAGGCAAGCGGACCAAGGAGAGCCUCCAGGUGGGCUCUCGGUCCACUUAACCGGCUCCGUGGACCCACGCCCCACCGCUUUGCUGCACCUAGAUCCCACCCCAGCAAGCCUAGGCCUCCUUCCCCAUCUCGUCCCACCCCUCUCCCCGCCAGGCGUCCUGCGGAACAGAGACCUCGCCGGUUCCAAUUCAAUUAGCGCGCUUCCAGGCCGCCUCGGGCGAGCGGCGGCUUCAAUCAGGGCUGCGCCGGCUGGGGCGGGGGCGGGGCGGCCAGGUAAAAAGGAACCAAUUUGCCCGGAGGCUUUAUCAACAAGUGGCUUAACUAGGAAUUUGCGUUGACAACUCGGCACCUCGGUCGGGCUGCGGCAGGGAUGACAAGCUGAACUGUGGGGGUGCGACCCGGGAGCCGGGAAGCCUCCGGGGGGCAGACUCGCCCGAGCCAGGCGCGGCGAGGACAGAGGGGACCCAGGCACCCGGAUCUUGCCGCCGGGACAGGGGGCCCGGAUGGCUGGCGAGCGGGCCGGUGGGCGUUGGACUGUCUUUCCCGGCGAAGUAGGUGGCCGUGUAUAUUUUUGUUCAAGUGGUGUUUAUGUUAAUGAGCAAAGGAUGGAAUUACAAACAGCCCGCCGAUCCGCGCACUGCGGCCGCCCGAGACUCGCCGAGCUUGCGUCCCAGGCCCAAUCAAAGACGCCCGCGCUCCGCCGGCUCGGGACCUCCCUUCCUCUAACUUCGUGAAACUGUGCUGCACCCUCUCUCCAACCCCCUCCCCGCAGCCACACACGCACGCACACACAAAAUGGGAAUUCUGCAAUCACCCCCCUGCUCGCCAAACCCGGGGAUUUUGCAAUCCCUCCUGCCUCGCCCUCCGCCCUCCAGAGCGCAAUCAAGCUUGUGGAGGAGAAGAACGCUCCUUGAAGCCCUGCAGUGCCCUUUUCCAAAGGCGCACUGGGUUGGGCCGAGCUCCUCUCCUCCUGCUCCGCCGGGCUCUGGUCUCCUCGCCCCUUCUUUCCGCCUCAUGCUCAGCUCUGCCUGGUUCUGACAUUGGGUUCGCGGCCUAGCUGCUUUUUAUUUUUUCCUGUAGAAAAGGAGUUGGGCUUUUCAAAAGCCGCCCCCGUCUCCCUCUCUCCAACAGAACCUUUCCUCCUCCUUUCCCCCAACAGUUCCCUCUUCCUCCCCGAUAGGAAAGGCCAUGGCUGCGUUUGCCCGAUCCUUUCCUCUGGUGAUGAGGACUUCGAGUGGGAGAAGCAGAGACAGGAGGGAGCACCUUGGGAGAGGCUCCUGCCAGAGGGGCUGCUGGUGGCCCUGGCCCGUGGGGUCGGUGGGGCCUGGACCAGGGCAGCAGCGAACACACUCCCCUGCUCUUCAGACACUGCUGCCAGAUCGCCGCAAAGGAGACACAAAGGAAUGGACAGUCCAGGCCCUGUCUCGCCCUCUCCUAGAGGACCUUGGAUGGGGAGAUGUGGGUGACCGCACCUCCACAGCUCCUCAGCCCGUGGUGUAGACGUGGCUCCUCGCACAUUCCCACCACCUUCCCAGCGGUUCAGCCCAGGUUUCUGGCGGGUCAGGCUGCCUUCAGAGAGGAGGGAGGGAGCGGCUAACACCUCUGCUGGCGCCUUGGACCUGGAGAAUCGGGACCUCCCAGCAACAUAGGGAAGGCAUCCCCACCCUCACCCCCCAUUUUGAAUUCCUGCUUUGCCAGGACUGCGAGGCUGACCCGAAGGACUUCAGCAACGCUUUGAGGGCCUGGAGCACCUGACCUCUGCAGUCGGCUUAGCACUAGGCAGUGAGGACGGCAGCCAGGGGAAGACACAGACUCUCAAGGGAGAGGGGGAAAGUAAGGGCCUUUGCCUGGCCAGGGGCAAGUUCAGCACGUAACUUUCUCCCCUCUCAGGAUGCAGCCUCUAACUCCAAGGUUUAGGCAUGGAAAAUGCUCACUCGAGUGUGUGGGCGAGUCUCAGGGCCCAGUCCUGAUUUGGAGGCUGCCCACCCUCUCUGCUCUGCCACCUUAGGGCUGAGGGGCCCCUUUGCUUCGGGGUCAGGAAGCAUUUGCAGUUGCCCUGUUGGGGGCAGGUGUCCUUAACAGGACAUCAAAAGGUCCUGGGGAGGUGCAAAACUAGGUGUGUGGCUGCAUUUUGGGGAAAACAUUGCCUUCACUUUCACCGGAUAAAAUCGCUAACACUGGCCCCUCCCGCAGAAGAACCACCAAGACAGAACAAAGUGGCCUAAGUCACCGUUGUCGGCACCCCCCUUCUCUCAAAGAGCUACCAUUUGUCAAAACCGUGCGCUGCUGACACUCGCUUGACGGGUUUUGUAGCCUUGAUAUUGAGCAGCGAAGAGAAGAAUCCCAGAAGAGAAAGAGGGGUGCGGCCACGCAGCUCCCUCCCCAGCUGCUGGACUGAACCGGCCUUGCUCCCAGCCGCGGCAGAGGUCGCAGGCUCUGGCCCGCCCACGUGUUUGGUGCCGAAGCUCUGGGGUCACAGCCCCCAGGUGGGGAGACCCAGCGCAGUUGUUUCGGGAGCCCCCGCCCCCCUAGCGCUGUGCUGCGUUCUGCACGGGGCGUUUGUAAGCCAGCGCGGGUUCCAAGUCCAGACAACCCUGAGCAGGUGCCGGCCAGGCUUCCUCCCCGGCUCGCUUGGCCCCCUCGCGAGAUGCGGGUGUGUGCGGGGACACUUCACGCCGGCAUUUAGCCUGCCGUAAUAGAUGGUGAGGGGCACCCCGUAGCUAUCCUUGCGCUUGGCUCCUCGGGACAGGGGACAGGGUAGCUUUUCUUCUGGGAGCUUUGGGAAGCAGGUUAGGCGAAGAGGGAGUGUCGCGGGGGCCCCACCAGGGAUAGGGGUCAUCCUAAUCUGGUCACGCCCGGGGAUCCCGGGGUCAGUCCGCACUGGGCCCGCAUGGCGCCUUCGCCCUCACCCGCCGCAGGCCUGGGCGCCGCGAGCCCUUUCUCCGAGGCACCACUUUCUCUUGGGCUGUGGAUGCCAGAUGCCAGUCCUGCACUCGCUGGCGGGCCCUUCGGUGCGCCCCAGCUGUUUUCUCCAUCCUGCAAUUAAACUCGAGGUCAAAUAUCUCCUUAACGACGCUAUCAGGCCAGCGGCUCAUUAUGGCGUAUAUUUAGCCAUAAAAUACGGGUUGUAGCGAGGAGGAGAUGAAAAUUAUUGUGUUCUGGGAAUGAAUCCUUUUAGCAGAAACCAGAGCUGUUAUUUACCACGGAGGACUAAGUACAGGCUCGGUCUUCCAGGCGACCCCGGCAGGACCAGCCGCACUUCCAGGCCCUUUCCGGCUUUGCCUGCGCCCCCGCCGCAAGCCUGGCACCCGGUGCACCACCAACCCGGCCGGAGGCGCCGCCUCUGCGCGCUGCUGCCUAGGAGCCGCGUCGCUGCUAAGGGAGCGCUGACAGCCCGGUGCUUGGCCUCCGACCGAGUCCAGAGCUCCCAGCCCACUCGCCUGUCUGCAGCGGGAAAGCCUCUGCCCGGGGUUGUCGGGAGAGGGCACAGCAGCCUGGCAAGCGGUGGAACAGUGUGGAGACUGAUUGGACUCGGAGGAUGACUCUGCUUCUGCUGAGUUGCCUCAGGGCAGUUACCCAACCUCUCUGCACCUAUGUGGCCCAUCCAAAAGGGAAGGAAGUCUCACUUGGCUCUGGGAGCCUAAGGAGAAUCCGAUCAUUCAUGUGAAGGUCGCAGUCCUGCGCCAGGUCAGGAGAAGUUCCACCCAAGAUGGAUGAAGGCAAAAGAAGAACAGAGACGUGGUUGGGGCUGUGGCCCCGCCUGGGUGAGGCCCUGGGUUGGAUCCCCAGCGGAGGGAAGAAAUGCAGGAGGAUGUUGACAAGAACAACGUGUGGGGCUGCUGGAACGAAUGGAUGCGUGGGUGAGUGACGUCACCUGUGCAGGGCUGUGGGAGACUUGGAGUCCAGGGUUGGACGGCUCAGGCUUGCAUGGGGCCAGACCCCCACCAGCUGUGCCCGCCAGCAUGGGUAACUCAUCUCCCUUGUCCAGACCCCAGGCUCUCCUCUGUGGGCACCACCUCACCCAGAAUCACCAGGCUGAGCGGAGACUGCUGCUGGGACCCCAGGGCUCAGCUUAAGGUGCCCAACAGGACUCCACCCCCCUGCCCCUCCCCGACAUCCUGGGUGUGGGGCACCCCCGUUGGAACCAGAAGCCUUGAGACACUCUGAGGAUGCUAAGGCUCACCCUAGCAAUGUGGGGGAUCGGGUGGGCGGAAGAACCCCCAACGUUUGCCUCUCCGGAAGUGGCCGGUGACCCACAGCUGCAGAUAGGUGGAAAAACCAAAGGAGGGAGUCCCCAGUCUAAAUGUUUGCGAAGGUCUCCAGGGGGGGCAGAUUAAUUGUGGGGCUAGUGGGUCUCCCUGGGUGGGGCAGGUGUGUCCUAGAGCCAGCCACCCCACUAGCCAGGGCCCAAUAUUCCUGGUUUCUGGGAUGGGCAGGACAGCAGACCUCCCAUCUCUGCCUCAUGGACAUCCUGCCCAGAGAUGCGGGGGGGCUUCUGGUGGAUAGGCGUGGGCGGUGUUGGGGCAAGAACCUGCCCUCCAGCCCCCCUCCUAUAACCUGCCCCCAGCAGCCAGGUGCCAGCACCCUGUCCCGGGAGCACCCCCCGCCUUCCUGGAGUGCUGCUUGUGUACUGCCGCCCAUGACCCAUCUGGAGACAGGCAGCCUGGGUGCUGGGCUCCUUCUGAACCCCCAAGAGGGGGAGAUUGCACACUGUGGCCAUUUUCAGGGUUGGUUGUUGGCAGCUCUGAGAGGGAGCCCUGGAUGGCAGUGCUGUGUGACCUCAGGCAGGUCCCACCCCAUCUCUGGGCCUGUUUACUCUCUGAGAACUGGAGGUUCUAUAAUAACUCUCUGAAGGCCAGGCCUUCUGCCUGCGACACUGAUGGUGUGACCGUCCUUUUCAGUCCAAAGGGUGUGUCUCUCCAUCACAGCCACUGCCGCCUUCACGACGCAUGUGCCUGGGGCUUCUCAGCCAUUUGGUCUUCACAACCCUUUGAGGCAGGCAUUUUAUUGUCCCCAUUUUCAGAUGGGGAAAUUGAGGGUCAGAGAGGUGGACUAGCCAGCUUCGAGGCACAGGACUGCUUCCAUCGGGUGGCGUCAUCCUGUCAGCUCCCUGCAGCCAUGAGUGACAUCUGCGCCAGUUGGCGAUUAGGGAUCUGGGGGGGGGGUCAUUCUGAGGUGAUUCUGGGAUCCAGGCUGUCUGAUAGCUCAGUGGCUGGGGAGGGACACAGAGACAUGCAACAGGGCUCGUCACAUAGAUGGCCACUUAUCUUAGUGUGCAUGAAGCCAAGUUGCAAGAUGCAUUUUUUGUUGGUUAUUUCAUAUGAGCGAGAGGUUUAUUCCUGUAAAACCGCGUGCAUUAAGAGCUUGGCUUGUGGGGCGGGAGCCUGAGGGUGAAGCAGGACAGGAAGUCCCAGGCAGCCGGGUGCCUGCAGGGCUGCAGGGUCCCCGAGGGCUGGCCAGGUGGACCCAGUGUCCCAGCUGGGACCUUCUGUGCCCCACUGCACGUGGUGGGCUCCCGGGCUGCUCUGGGGACUGUGCUGUGCUGGAGGGUCCCCUCCGAGAUGACAGAUGAGUCUGGCGUGAGACUCCUGGACGCACACAGCCUGUUACUCACAGCAGGAGAAUCCACUGCCCCCAACUCUCACUUUGCUGGAAGCCGCUGCUCCAAGGAGGAGGCGAGAGGGCCAGCCCCCACCACAGGAGCUCCCCCUGUUCCCUUCUCGAUGGUGCCCUGCUGGGUCAGGAGGACAGCUGUGCUUCUGAGGGUGGCCUCUGGCCUGCUCUGCUGGCCUUCCACGGGCUUCACAGCUGACCUCCAGGAGCCAACGCUGAGGACAAAGAUGGUGGGGCUGACAUUGGGCCACGGGGGCCCUCGUGACGGUGGCACCGAGCCUGUGGCUCACCCUGCGUGCCAGAGGCUGAGCCUCCUGUCCACCCCCUCAGUCAGUCCCCAGAGCAGUGCCAUGAGGGAGACCUCAGAUGAGGACACACGGCCAGGGAGGUGGCCACCUGCCCUCGGGCUCCCACUGCGAGCGGUGGAGCACCCAGCUCUGAGGAGGGUCUUGGGGGCCCUGGUCCUGACUCCUGGCCAGCUCUGGCACCAAACUCUGGACCUGGACUUGGGUAUAGUCGUAAAUAGAAGGGCCCCGGGGCCGGCUUGCCCUUCAGUACUCGGUUUGUCCACUGAGCGGGGGCGACCGUUGGGCCUCAGGGCACCUGGAGACCCCCGGAGGGGCCCGCGGUGGUUUUCCUGAGGAGUGAGGCUCUUUCCUGCACUUUGGCUUGUGCGUCCGGGCGUCCGUCCCUCAUGAGGCUACUUUUCCAAACAGGAUCUGUGAGGAGGUGACCCAAUUCAGGGAGGGUCUUGGGUGCAGAGGGCUUGGUUGAGCAGCGGCCACCAGCACAGCCUGGCCGUCUCCCAAGGCUCAGGGGAAUGGAGCUCCCGGACCUGCUGCUGAGGGACCCCGGGGGUGGGGGGGGUGGGGGGAGGGACCGGCACUGGAGGUGGGGACACUAUUUUCUUUGCUGUUGUAUGUUUUAUUUUUUCCAUGAUCCAGAAAAGAAGCUCUUUCUGGGGCUCCCAGGGACAGAUGGUGCAGAGGGAGAGACAGGAAGCUCGCAGAGGUCAUUGGUCAAAAGGGUGAAUCCAGAAGGAACCACCCAGAAGAAUGGGAAGGAAUCCUAGGCAUUCCCGGCCGGAAGGAAGCAGUGCGGUUUGUCUCCUCUCUCACUGCGCAGGGGCCAGUGGCUGUCCAGUCGGCACAGCCUGGCAGAGCACUCUGGGACUGGACUCCACAAUUCACGUGGACGCCCGUCCUUGACGUGCCGGUUUUUUCUAUUUAAUAUUUAUUUUCCAGUUGUGGGUGGACACGAUACCUUUAUUUUAUUAAUUUUUAUGUGGUGCUGAGGAUGGAACCCAGGGCCUCGCUCGUGCUGGGCGAUCGCUCUACGGCUGAGCCACACCUCAGCUUGGUUUUAUCUUUUAAAAACCCUGACAGGUAUCAGAGGAAAAUAAUUUAGUGCUUGUUGUUUACUGCAGUCAGCUGGGGCCGCCUUUCCCUGCACUUUUUUGCUGGUGCCUGUGGCUGUCCACCACGGCCACAAUGUGACAAUGUCAUUUGGCCGUAUCCCUCCUGUUACCUUUAGGGCUGUCUUAACAAAGGCCCUUUGUUAGGAGGUGACCCUAACAGGCAGCUUACCAACAGCAGAUGGUUAUUCUCCCGGUGCCGGGGGCUCGGGUGCCAGCGGGUUGCCAACGCCCUCAGAGCAGGAGGCCAGGUGCUCUCCGCGUCUCUUUGGUAUCACUGAUAUCCCAGCAGAGACUCCCCCAAGACCGUACCUGGCCCUGGAGGUGGGGACACGUGGCAGUGAGGAUUUCAAAGUACAAAUGUUGGGGACCCAAGCAGUCCCUGGCCUUGCUCCAUGAACUCUGGCGACAGACACACCUGGGCACUGCGCACCUGGAUGAAAGGUGAGCAGGACAGUGCACACUUGGAUAUGGCAGGCUUCUGGAUGCUUCCAGGGCUAUGGCCAGGGCUUCUAGGGAGGUGCUGGUGUUUGGGAUCUGCCAAAGUCUGAAGCCCACGGCGGUGCCCUGAGUAGUCACGCCUCUUCACCUAGGCACUGGCCACAGGGUCCACACCGCUCAGGUUUCCUGGUUCUGCCGUCCUCCCCAUGGCUGUGGACACCCCAGGACGGUCUUUGGGUGAAUGUUGGAGAUCGUUUUAGGCGUCUCUCAAUGUGGAACAGAGGAUCCUGAAAUUGAGUGUUUAACGGAGAACCACCAUUUCCUUCUUCCUCAGAUUUCUCUGGAUGGACAGACCCAGCCCGGGACUCCGGGCUGGAGGUGCUGAGUGGAGCGGCCACAGGGAAGACGGCCCCCUGAGCCCACUGAGGCGUGCGAGUGUCGAUGCAGGAGGCUGCCCACCUGCAGGACAGCGGGGAGAAGUGUGCUGUGUGAGUGCCUCACGACGGGGCGCCCAGGCUGCACCCGGGGUGUCUGGGAUCUGAGCCUAGACCAUAGGGGCCCUCAGGGCGGUGAGGGAGCUGCGUGUGCGCAGAGGAAACUUGGGGGUCCUGUGUCCAGCACAAGAUGCCCAGAGCAGCACCACCAGGUGGAAGCAGGACACGGAGCCAGGACAGGGCUGCAGCACAGGGACUGGGCUCUGGAGCCAAGUCCCAGCCCACAGCGGGACCCUGGGCCAGUUCCUUACACGGUCCAGAACAGGCAUCGGAGAGGUGGGCUGGUGUGAGUGGGCUGGUGGAACGUGGGCUGCCACCCGCCUUCCCGAGGUGCAGUCCCAGGAGGAGGGAGGGGCACAAGUAGGAGAAGUCCCAGUUGCCACAGUGUGGCAGCCACCGAUGAAUGGUCACUAACUCAAACCCAGGUGCAUAGCAGAGACAGGUGGCCCUGUGUCCUGGGAAGAGCAGAUUGGUUGUCGUCCCGCUUUUUUAUCCAGUUUAGACAAAGAUGGGCAAAAAAUAAUCUAAAAAAUAAUGAGUUUUUCCAAACAACAGGGACAGACGCACACAGACGGCCAGGUGGUGACACGCAGAGCCUGGAGGGCGCACCAGCCAUCCCAGGAGCCCAGGAGCAUGGUGACCCCCGGGAGCAGGAGGGUGGGGCGGAGGCUCCCUCCCAGCCUCAGAGGAAGCAGCCCUGCUGCCCCGUCAGCCCUGGCCUUCGGAACCCAGGGGAAAUGGAUUUCUGCUUCUCUAAGCCACCCAGUUAGUGACGAUUUGUCAUGGCAGCUCCUGGAAACUAAUACAGGUUCACAGACCUGAUUUUCCGUAUGCCGAUACAGACAUGCAUUUGUUAGGUAAAAGCCUGUGGGUAACGCUCAGUUCCUUCGACAGCGUUAUCGUGAUAAAAUGAGCUCAUUCAUACAUUUUAUAUGCCGAUAAAGACAAAAGAUCCAGGAUACACAAGGUUCCUCUUGUUUCAAUUAUUUUAUUCUUUUAAAUGACAAACAAUGUGGCAAGACAAACAGAAAAAAGAGUCUUCAUGGAACAAAUACCAGGGGAUCCGUGCACCUCAUCGAUCACCCUUCCAGGCCUGCGAACAGACGCCGCUCAGCAGCUACGUGUGCAGCGCCUCUGCAUCUGUGCUUGGGGAUCGCUCUUUGAGGACUGGGAGCAGAAAAUGCCCCCUGGGCUGCCAUGGAGAUUCCUGCUGCCUGGCUCCUGGUGUGAGCCGAUCCUGGGUGGCUUCGUCUCCCCAGGCCUCUGGGAGCCCAGUGCAGGCAGGUGACUCUGUCCUCCCGGAUGCAGUUCCACCCCAUAGAUCUUCCCAGUCCCUUUUCUGUGGCUAUUGCCGAAUACCAGAGGCUGGGUGUAAAGAUGUAAUGAUAAAGGUUUAUAAAGAUAAUAGGUUUGCUCAGCUCGAAGUUUUAGAGUGUGAAGGUUCAAGAUUGGGUGGCCCCUCAUGUUUGGCCUUUGGUGAGGGACCUUGGGAUGUCACAACAUGGUGGACGGCAUCAAGCUGAGGGUGUGAGGCAAGGAGCCUGAGGGUGGGAGGGGCCAGUCUUGACCUUCUGUGAGUCCUUCCAAGGGCACGCCCAGUCACCUCACCAGCUUCUCCUAGGCCCCGCCUCCCGUGCCAUCCUCUGAGACCCAGCCUCCGUGCCGUGGACCAGGAGGACAAGCCACAUCAGCCUAGGAAGACCCGGUCUGUGUCAGGUCUUGGGAGCUCCAGCCAGACCUCCUGCCCUUCUGCAGGAGGCCAAGAGCACCUUGUCCCUGAGAUGCAGCAGCGUCCCAGGACUUGUGCGAGGCCCGGGAGUACGUGGUCAGCACUUGCUUGGUCAGCACCACCUUACCCAGCCCCCACAGCUCUCGGAGACCUGCCUCCGUCACCAGGGGCUCCACCUGGCCCCUGCGGUGAUCCUGGAGAGAACCCCCUGCCCUGGGGGAGCAGGACCGGGUGGACAUCAGGUGCUCCUGCUCCUCGCAGAGCCUGGCCUGCUGGGCUCUGCCUCCGCCUGACCGCCAGCCCCGAUCCCUCCUGCCAUCUGUCGGGAAACAAAGACGGGAGGCCCAGUCAGACAGGGACUGUGGGGACGGAGGCUGCCCGCAGGCCAGCGAGGCUCCCCACACUUGAUGAGCUCCUCUGACCCAGCACCCCACGACUCACUGCCAGAAGGAAUGACAGGGGCACGGAGGCGGACACUCGGCUGGGAGGGACAGCAGCCUCAGGACCAGCCUCAGCUGGGGCCGGUGGCAGCGCGGCAGGUGGCACAGCAGAGGAUGAGCAGGUGGGAAUUUGGAACAGCGAUGACCCCCACAUGGCCCCAGCGGGUGUGGCCCGCUCAGGUCCUAGUGAAGGGACCUCUGGUUGCAUUCUCAGAAGGCAGAGAGACAGAGACAGAGACAGAUACAGAGCAGACGGGGAGACUGGCUCGUGCCGCCCUGAGGCUGGAAAGGGAGGGCAGCUGGGGAAAUGCAGGCGGAGCUGGUGCUGGCCACUGGAGGUCUGUCCUUCCCUAGGAGCCUCGGUUUGCUCUUAGGCCUUCGCCUGAUGGGACAAGACCCACCCACACCAUGAAGGUCCUCGGUGUCACUUGGCCAGCUGAUUGCAGGGCUUAACAGUACCUACUUCUGCAGUGACACUUGGACCAGGGUUCAACUGAAGAUCAGGACCCUGAAUUCUGGCCACAUGGACAAUAGGCCUGACCAGGGCAGGGGCUGGCAGAUGUACUCUGCCUGGCUGUGUCCCUCUUCCCUGCAGGCCAGCCUCUGGGGCUGGGCGUGUAUCUGCCGCCAGGCCUGUCCACUUAGAUUUUUGUGGCGGGACUGGCUGCACACCAGGGUCGUCAUCAACAGGCUCAUCUGGACUGUGCAGGUGACCAGGUGGCCUUUCUGCCCCUAGCAUGUCUGUGUGAAGACGUGUCUAAGACGUGUGACCUAGAGCUGGCCCCUACCUGCAGCUGGUGGGUGGGGCCAUCGCACACGUGCAGAGAGGACAACAACCUGCACUGAGCCACCCUCCACUGGUGACCCCGUGGCCACCCAGCGGGCUGCUUUGCAGAUGAGGAAACCGAGGCCCCAGAGGUUAGGUAUCAUGCCCAGGCUCAUGUGGCUGGUAGGUGAUGAGCCAGGAUAGGAGCCAGACCCUCUGCCCUGCUCCCCGGAGCCCGUGGCACAUCCGGGGUGUCCUGCAUGCGCCUGUGCAGGAAUCAGGCUGACAGCUGGGUCAGGACGCACAGCCAGGAGACUGGACCCCGGCACCAAAUCCCCUGUGACAACUGGACACCUCAUUCUACUCUUGGUGCUGCGUCUCCUUGUCCAGAGUAGGACACACCCCUCCAUCUCCUUUCUCUGGAAAGUUGUGAGAAUUUGUUUCUGUUGAAUCGUUUGAAGAAUCAUGAAAAAAAUUUUUCAAAUGCCAGUUUUACAAAAUAAAGGAUUGGUCGUAAGUUUCCCUUUGGGGGGCCCUGAGACCACAGGAAUCCCAGCGUUCCUGGGAUAUAGUGAAUGGACCUGACUUCCCUGCUGACACGCGGUGGCUUUGCAUUCCAUGUUUGGUCGCCAUCAGAGGAGACCUGGGGCCUUCUAGAGAUGGGCACGUGUGUCUCCAGGUCCCGGAUUCGGGCCUUUCCGAGGAGCCCUGGGCUGACACUCCUGUAAGUGGCGUCUGCACACUUGAAGCGGCUCCGACAGCUGGUCUUGAGGGGCCGUAACUAGACACCCUGCAAACUGGAAGAGAUUAGCUCUGACCACAGGGCACCCAGCAGACCGGCACUUAAUAACCUUCCCAAAUGUGUGAAGCACUUAGUUCUAGAAUAACAGGAAGAACUGGACUGCGGCACGGCGGGCUUGAGAUUCCUCCUGGCCAUCCUCUUCCUCUGGCCAGCCAGCACGGUGACCACAGCCCCGUCCAGCUUCCCAGGGUCCCCCUCCUGGGGCGGCGCGUCCCAGGGAGAUGACAUGCAGGCUCUGUGCCCUGCACAAUGACUCCCUGAGGCCAGUCUUCCUGAGGAAGCAGCCCAGGCUGCAGCCCAGGCCAGGGAAACGUGAGUCUCCACCAAAUCCUCCGCGCCACGGAAACCGCUGCAAAAUUGCUCCCUUCCUCCCCGCAUGGCUGGGCCGGCGGCUCCGGGAGGCCUCCGACAAGAGGGCAUUGUGUGGCUGGACCCCUCCCCUGCCACAAAGGGGGCCUUUCAGGGCUGCCAACGGGGCGGGUGGGGACCCCGAGGCCCCUUGGAGACGGCUCUGGGGCUCCGAGGCGCUCCUGGAACUCUUGGGGUGCUCCUUCUCGGCGCCGGGCUCCGCUCCUGCCAGAGGCCCGCGGGUUCGUGCAGGGAGAAGCGCUCGGCUGUUAUGUGAACAGAGGGACAGAGAACGCUCGGAUUUCUCUGUCGGGAGGUCAUUUCCCCCGGAAGGUCCACAUGGGGAUGGUGGAUUCAUGGUGGGAGCCUCGUUCAGAAAGGGACGCAAGAGACUGGCCGUCCUGGUGGCCUCGGGGAGCUGGGAGUUUGGAGACAGCAGAGGAGGGAAAGAAACUGCGCGGCGUGUCCCCGCAGGCUUUGGAAGACGGACACGGGAACAGAUAUCUAAUUUAAACAUAUCUUCAUCCUGCCCAAGGCCAAGUGUAUACCGUCUCAGAGAGGGAGGGCGUCCGGGAGGCAGGAGCCCAGCCGGCUGCUGGCGAGGCCCCGUGCCUGCUGGGAGAUCUGCUGUCUGCAGAGUAGCCUCGCUGUGCCAGUAACCAAGGGACUGUGGGCUCCGGGGUUCAGUGACUUCAGCCGCCUGUGGUGACCACUACCCUCUUCGGAUAGAAGUGCUGUUUCUUUUUCAUGGACAAAAUGGUUCUCAGACUGGAGGCCACAUUCCCUCCUGCCUCCUGGGUGAGGCUGGCUGGGCUGAGGCUCAUGGGGGCUGCUGCCCAGGGAGGCCAGAUUUACAGCUGAGCUAGGGAGGAGGCCCAGGAGGAGGAGCAGCCCCAGGGACCUCCUGCCACCCUUGCCACCAAGGCGGGGUCACUGGCCUCUGUGCAUGGGCAGGGAGGGUGUUGUUCUCCAAGGACACGGCACUCGCUGAAGCCAGUGUUUUAUUGCUAGAAACAGGAGAGCCCGACCUUGAUCCACCUCUGCCCCCGUUAAAACUAACCGAAAUGUCCCCUGUGUCCGAGUGACCCCAAGCAGGAGGACUGAGCUGCAGACUUUCCACCAGGAGGCUGGGCAGCUGCGGAGUCUUCCAGUGUGAUGGGCACAAUCCGUUCUGCCUGUGAAGCCAAGAGGGGACAAACAGGUCUGUUGAGGGCCGCAGCCGAGUCGGGAUGACGCAUGGCAUUUUUGACAGAAGUAGUGGUCGAGAGGUGACCCCAGGGAGCCAUUAAGAUGAUGACUUUUGAGUUCUCGCGGAGUUCCCGUUGAGUUCCGGUUGAGCUCUCCCGGGGAUUCCUGCAGAGUUCGCGUUGGUUGGUGAGGUUCCGGUGGGGGGAGUUCCGGUUGGUGUGUGGUGGUUGCUGGAGGAGUCGCGUGGGUGGCGUUCGGGAGAGUUCCCGGGGAGUGUGCUGGUGGAGUUUGGAAAUAAAGUUUGUUCCUGCUUGAGUGGUUCGUGAUUUGUGCCCAGCCAGACUGUGGCACAGGUCAGGUCCCCGGGACCUGGAACGGGGUCUGGAACACCUUCUCUAUCAUUAGGGAGAGCCUGAGUUGGGCACCGCGGCAGCAACCUGUCAUCCCUGCGACUUGGUCUCAAGUUCAAGACCAGCCUCAGCAACUCAGCCCUACAUAAUUUAGAGAGACCCUGUUUCAAAAUACAAAACAAAAAGGUCUGGGGAUGUGGUCAGUGGUUAAGCUCCUGUGGGUUCAAUUUCUGGUGCAAAAAAAAAAAGAAAGAUUGACAUAAACUUGAGAGCCGUUUUAAAGGGUUUUUAAAAUGUUCCUUGAAACGGAACAGAAGAAGAAAUACAAUCAGUCAAUAAAUACUUGAAAAAAUAUUAAAUAUUAGUGACAAUUAGAGAAAAGCAAAUUAAAACUACACUGAACUAAUUAGAGCAAAUAAAAAAAAAAAACUAAACUGAGAUUUCAUCUCAUUCCAGUCAGAAUGGCAAUUAUCAAGAAUACAAGCAACAAUAAGUGUUGGUGAGGAUGUGGGGAAAGGCACACUCACUCACUGCUGGUAGGAUUGCAAAUUGGUGCAACCACUCUGGAGAUUCCCCAGAAAAUUUGUCAUGUCAUCACCAUAUGACCCAGUGUCCCACUCCUGAGUAUGGAUCCAAAGGAUUUAAAAUUAGCAUACUACAGUGACAUGCCCUCACCAAUGUUUAUACCAGUUCAAGUCACAAUAGCCAAGCUGUAGAACCAACCUAGAUGCCCUUCGACAGAUGAAUGGAUAAAGAAAAUGUGGUGCAUAUACACAAUGGAAUAUUACUCAGCCAUAAAGAGAAAUGAAAUUAUGGCAUUUGCCAGUAAAUGGAUGGAACUGGAGACUAUCAUGUUAAGUGAAAUAAGCCAAUCCCCCAAAACAAAGGCAGAAUGUUCUCUUCAAUAUUCGGAUGCUGACUCACAAUAGGCAGGGGGAAGGGCAGAG